CCUACGGGAGGCAGCAGUGAGGAAUAUUGGUCAAUGGACGCAAGUCUGAACCAGCCAUGCCGCGUGCAGGAAGACGGCUCUAUGAGUUGUAAACUGCUUUUGUACGAGGGUAAACGCAGAUACGCGUAUCUGUCUGAAAGUAUCGUACGAAUAAGGAUCGGCUAACUCCGUGCCAGCAGCCGCGGUAAUACGGAGGAUUCAAGCGUUAUCCGGAUUUAUUGGGUUUAAAGGGUGCGUAGGCGGUCGGAUAAGUUAGAUGUGAAAUCCCGAGGCUCAACUUCGGAAUUGCCAUGGAUACUGUGCGGCUAGAGAGUAGUUGCGGUAGGCGGAAUGUAUGGUGUAGCGGUGAAAUGCUUAGAGAUCAUACAGAACACCGAUUGCGAAGGCAGCUUACCGAGCUACUUCUGACGUUGAGGCACGAAAGCGUGGGGAGCAAACAGGAUUAGAUACCCCAGUAGUC
rnacentral:rRNA from 1 species